rnacentral:rRNA from 1 species
GUGGGGAAUAUUGCACAAUGGGGGAAACCCUGAUGCAGCAACGCCGCGUGAGUGAAGAAGUCAUUCGUGAUGUAAAGCUCUAUCAGCAGGGAAGAAGAUGACGGUACCUGAGUAAGAAGCCCCGGCUAACUACGUGCCAGCAGCCGCGGUAAUACGUAGGGGGCAAGCGUUAUCCGGAUUUACUGGGUGUAAAGGGAGCGUAGACGGAUAGAUAAGUCCGAAGUGAAAUGCCAGUGCUCAACACUGGAACUGCUUUGGAAACUGUAGAUCUAGAGUGCGGGAGAGGUAAGUGGAAUUCCUAGUGUAGCGGUGAAAUGCGUAGAUAUUAGGAGGAACACCAGUGGCGAAGGCGGCUUACUGGACCGUAACUGACGUUGAGGCUCGAAAGCGUGGGGAGCAAACAGGA